UGGGGAAUCUUGCACAAUGGGCGAAAGCCUGAUGCAGCGACGCCGCGUGCGGGAUGAAGGCCUUCGGGUUGUAAACCGCUUUCAGCAGGGACGAGGCCGCAAGGUGACGGUACCUGCAGAAGAAGCCCCGGCUAACUACGUGCCAGCAGCCGCGGUAAUACGUAGGGGGCAAGCGUUAUCCGGAUUCAUUGCGCGUAAAGCGCGCGUAGGCGGUUUGUUAGGUCAGGAGUUAAAUCUGGGGGCUCAACCCCUAUCCGCUCCUGAUACCGGCAGGCUUGAGUCUGGGAGGGGAAGGCGGAAUUCCAAGUGUUGCGUUGAAAUGCGCAGAUAUUUGGAAGAACACCGGUGGCGAAGGCGGCCUUCUGGGCCACGACUGACGCUGAGGCGCGAAAGCUAGGGGAGCGAACAGG
rnacentral:rRNA from 1 species